rnacentral:rRNA from 1 species
AUUGAACGCUGGCGGCAUGCCUUACACAUGCAAGUCGAACGGUAACAGGUUAAGCUGACGAGUGGCGAACGGGUGAGUAAUACAUCGGAACGUGCCCAGACGUGGGGGAUGGCUCGGCGAAAGCCGGAUUAAUACCGCAUAAGCUCUGAGGAGGAAAGCGGGGGACCGUAAGGCCUCGCGCGUUUGGAGCGGCCGAUGGC